CCGAAAGUAUUUCUUCGCCGAAAAUAGCAAAACUUAGCGGUAAACAUAGAAGUAAUACCUAGCAGCUUACUUACCUCUCUCCGCCUUGUUAGUCGUGACAGCAGCACUACUUUCGAUGUGUAGUCCCGGGAUCGACCCUCUGUCAUUCGCCUCACCCGUGCCUUCCUGAAAAAAAAAAGGACAACUGAAAAGAUAGAAUACUGUUGUGAGCCUGCAGCUUCCCAAUACCAUGGCAAGCAGUGACCAGCAGGGGUUCUUACACACACGUACACUGGUACAGUCUGCAUUAAUGUCAUCAUUGGAAAGACAGCCACAGCUUCCCAGCAUGGCCAACCUGACCAGCCACCUUUCCCCCCUCCAACCUGACAGCACCCCUCACUAGGUGAUGGCAGUGCAAGGGGACCACUACUGGAGGCACCCAUGUCAACAAUGGAUCUCCACACAUCAGUACACUGAAAGCUCUGACUGAGGAGGGACUCCCUGAAGGUGCCGACUGGGAGGGACAUCCCUGGUGCAUAAUGUGUGAGGUUGCAGUGUGUAAACAUACUUCUGGUGUGAGAGGGAAUGUGUAUUUAUGGAAAGGGGCUGUGGGGAUUGGGGUUUGUAAAUAUACUGUGGGGGGACACCCUGUGGGUCUGUGAGCUGAGAGAGAGAGAGAGAGAGAGAGAGAGAGAGAGAGAGAGAGAGAGAGAGAGAGAGACACACACACACACACACACACACACACACACACACACACACACACACACACACACACACACACACACACACACACACACACACACACACACACACACAUACAGCUCUCCUAUUAUGUUCCCUCUUGCAGGACCCUUGGCUCUUGACUGGUCAGAAAGAGCAUUGGUGCUCACUUGCACAUUCCCCUGCCACCUCCCAGCACUACAUGUCACAUGUUGCUUGCUCUAGUGGUAGUUUUGUGUUAUGUGGCUUAGCUUGCUUUAUAUUCAAUAUAGAUAAUUUUAAUUGAUAUCCUAAGUCUUAGCAAAGGUUGCAAAAAUAACCAAAAACAAAUACUUAAGUUUUUGGAAUUUCUUAAGACUAGUAUAACCGGAAAACUUUCAGUAAUGUCCUAUGAUUGCUGUAUUUAGUGCUACACAUGCAAUCUCUGAAUACUAGUAUAACUGGGAACUUUCAGUAAUAUCUUAUGAUUGCUGUAUUCAGUGGCAUACAGACAUUCUGAAUAAGUUGUUUCAUCCUGUGGAAGAAAACUUCCUUAACAUGAUGGUGUGACCAGAGCAUGAAUAAAACACUGGAAUUAUUCAUAAAACUUCCUUAACAUGAUGGUGUGACCAGAGCAUGGAUAAAACACUGGAAUUAUUCAUAAGGGGAUUUUGCACCACUCCAGCCACACACCAACCAAUUGUGUGUAAAGUGGAACUGUCUUUUAUUUGACAUUUUAUCCACAUGUGUUCUGGAUUUUUUUUUCUAAAAGAUGAAGUAAUUUAAUUCAGAAUGCCUUCAUAUGCUGCUAUAAAUGGCAAUCAUAUAAGUAACAUAUUAUUAAAAUUGUGUAGUAAGUUUCUAGUUAUACCCAUCAUAAUUUUAAGUGAGUUUCUGUAAACCCAUCUUUAUUCUGCAAGUGUCGGGAUACCUUUUUUUUUUUUUAUAUAUGUAGGAGGGACACUGGCCAAGGGGAAAAUAAACACUGAGAUGCCAGUCCCAGGAAAGGGUCCAAAGCAGUAGUCAAAAAUUGAAGGAUAAGAGUCUUGAACCCUCCCUCUUGAAGGAAUUCAAGUCAUAGGAAGUUGGAAAUACAGAAGCAGGCAGGGAGUUCCAGAGUUUACCAGAGAAAGGGAUGAAUGACUGAGAAUACUGCUUAACUCUUGCAUUAGAGAGGUGGACAGAAUAGGGGUGAAAGAAAGAAGAAAGUCUUGUGCAGUGAAACCGCGGGAGGAGGGAAGGCAUGCAGUUAGCAAGAUCAGGAGAGCAGUUAGCAUGAAAAUAGCAGUAGAAGACAGCUAGAGAUGCAACAUUGUGGCGAUGAGAGAGAGGCUAAGACAAUCAGUUAGAGGAUAGGAGUUGAUGAGACGAAAAGCUUUUCAUUCCACCCUGUCUAGAAGAGCAGUAUGAGUGGAACCUCCCCCAGACGUGAAGCAUACUCCAUACAUGGAUGGAUAAGGCCCCUGUACAGAGUUAGCAGCUGGGCGGUGAGAAAAACUGGCAGAGACGUCUCAGAAUGCCUAACUUCAUAGAAGCUGUUUUAGCUAGAAAUGGGAUGUGAAGUUUCCAGUUCAGAUUAUAAGUAAAGGACAGACCGAGGAUGUUCAGUGUAGAAGAGGGGGACAGUUGAGUGUCAUUGAAGAAGAGGGGAUAGUUGUUUGGAAGGUUGUGUCGAGUUGAUAGAUGGAGGAAUUGAGUUUUGGAGGCAUUGAACAAUACCAAGUUUGCUCUGCCCCAAUCAGAAAUUUUUGAAAGAUCAGAUGUCAAGCACUCUGUGGCUUCCUUGCAUGAAAUGUUUACUUCCUGAAGGGUUGGACGUCUAUGAAAAGAUGUGGAAAAGUGCAGGGUGGUAUCAUCAGCGUAGGAGUGGAUAGGACAAGAAGUUUGGUUUAGAAGGUCAUUGAUGAAUAAUAAGUGGGUGACAGGACAGAACCCUGAAGUUAAUAGAUUUAGGAGAAGAACAGUGACCGUCUACCACAGCAGCAACAGAACGGUCAGAAAGGAAACUUGAGAGUUACAGAGAGAAGGAUAGAAGCUGUAGGAGGGUAGUUUGGAAAUCAAAGCUUUGUGCCAGACUCUAUCAAAAGCUUUAGAUAUGUCCAAGGUAACAGUAAAAGUUUCAUCAAAAUCUCUAAAAGAGGAUGACCAUGACUCAGCAGAAGAUCACCAGUAGAGCGGCCUUGACGGAACCCAUACUGGUGAUCAGGUAGAAGGUUGUGAAGUGAUAGAUGUUUAAGAAUCUUCCUGUUGAGGAUAGAUUAAGAAACUUUAGAUAGGCAGGAAAUUAAAGCAAUAGGACGGUAGUAUGAGGGAUUAGAAUGGUCAUCCUUUUUAGGAACAGGCUGAAUGUAGGCAAACUUCCAACAAGAAGGAAAGGUAGAUGUUGACAGACAGAGCUGAAAGAGUUUGACUAGGCAAGGUGCAAGUACCUUACAUAUAAAACAAGCUAAGGCACAUAACAAAAACACACCACUGGAGCAUGUAAUGUGAAGCCUGGCACCAAGUCAGCAAAGGGAAGAUGCAGCUACUCAUUGAUAUACCUUCUUAAUGGGCUGAGCCAAAGAUCUAGCUGAAACAGUCUCAGAUCUUGUGGAAACUGUCAUGUGUUGGCCUAGCUUGAAGCUUUCUCUAUAAUCAAUUCAUCUUGUUUUCUUGACACUUCCAUCUAACCUGGUGUUCCUGUCUCGACAUGCAGUUUCAAGGGCAGCAAUCUUCAAAAUGGCAUCCUUCAAUGUGGACGCCUCCUUGGACAUCCCCCUGCUGGUACAAAGAUGGAAGUAUUGUUCACAUUAGUAUGUCAGAUCUUAGCUCUCUAUAUUCAUAAAUAUUUAUAUAUACUUUUUACAGAUCUUUACCACUCCUGUCCAACCUUUUAAGGAGAAAUAAGGAUGUUAAGUGGAAGGGAAAACAAGGGUGAUAACUGGAAUUAUAGUAGUAGAUGAAAAAAUAAGGAUGCUAACUGGAAUUAUAACACUGGAGAUAAUGCCACCAGUGAAAGGUGAGCCUCCCCAACUUCCAGGGUGUCACCAGAUUGAAACAUAGUGGUUCCCCCUCCAAUCUUACGUGCAGUUUGGGACAGUGCUCUGGUCUCUCAGUGGUCCUCAGUCAUUCUCCCUUCCUGCAAGACAACUGGUUAUACAAAAUAAAAAUAUAAGUCAAU